rnacentral:piRNA from 1 species
AUGAGUCUGCAUGACGGGAGUGAAC